rnacentral:tRNA from 1 species
GCGUCUGUAGACUAGUUGGUAAAGGCAGUACUCAAGAUGUUGAGGUCAUGGGUUUGACUCCCAUCAGACACA